rnacentral:rRNA from 1 species
GACGAACGCGUGGCGGCGUGCCUAAUACAUGCAAGUCGAGCGAGUGAGUUGAAAGGAUAGCUUGCUAUUUUCAUGAAGAGCGGCGAACGGGUGAGUAACGCGUGGGAAAUCUGCCGAGUAGCGGGGGACAACGUUUGGAAACGAACGCUAAUACCGCAUAACAAUGAGAAUCGCAUGAUUCUUAUUUGAAAGAAGCAAUUGCUUCACUACUUGAUGAUCCCGCGUUGUAUUAGCUAGUUGGUGAGGUAACGGCUCACCAAGGCGACGAUGCGUAGCCGACCUGAGAGGGUGACCGGCCACACUGGGACUGAGACACGGCCCAG